AUUGAACGCUGGCGGCAGGCCUAACACAUGCAAGUCGAACGAGUGGCGGACGGGUGAGUAAUGUCUGGGAAUCUGCCUUAUGGAGGGGGAUAACUACUGGAAACGGUAGCUAAUACCGCAUACCAUCGGAUGAGCCCAGGUGGGAUUAGGUAGUUGGUGGGGUAAAGGCUCACCAAGCCGACGAUCCCUAGCUGGUCUGAGAGGAUGACCAGCCACACUGGGACGGAGACACGGCCCAGACUCCUACGGGAGGCAGCAGUGGGGAAUAUUGCGCAAUGGGGGCAAGCCUGACGCAGCCAUGCCGCGUGAAUGAAGAAGGCCUUCGGGUUGUAAAGUACUUUCGGUAGCGAGGCGUUAACUACAGAAGAAGCACCGGCUAACUCCGUGCCAGCAGCCGCGGUAAUAC
rnacentral:rRNA from 1 species